UAAGGUCUGUAAUCUUGGUGGGUGAUACAGAGUUGUGUGUGCUCACUGCAAGGGCGGUCCAACAAGAAGUUGACCCUACUUUUGAACUUCCUCUUUAAUAGGUGGAUUCUUCCAGGUGCCAAGAGAAAAUGGUAACUAGAGCUAGAGAGUAGGGACAAGGCAAGGAAAAAAA